rnacentral:rRNA from 1 species
UACGGAGGGAGCUAGCGUUGUUCGGAAUUACUGGGCGUAAAGCGCGCGUAGGCGGCUUUGUAAGUUAGAGGUGAAAGCCCGGGGCUCAGCCCCGGAACUGCCUUUAAGACUGCAUCGCUUGAAUCCGGGAGAGGUGAGUGGAAUUCCGAGUGUAGAGGUGAAAUUCGUAGAUAUUCGGAAGAACACCAGUGGCGAAGGCGGCUCACUGGACCGGCAUUGACGCUGAGGUGCGAAAGCGUGGGGAGCGAACAGG